GAACAAAAGAAUUACUUACAGCCUGUCCUGGGUAAGAAAGCUGGUUGGGGCAGAUCCCAGAGGCAGAGAAGGGUGUGUUUCUUGGGUGUGGAUCAAACCUGUAAAGUUCAGGGAGGAAGGUUUGCUAAUCUCUGAGCAGCCCAUAGGACUGUUGGAAUAACAUUUACCAUCUGGGAAAAAUAAUUUAAUUAGGCAGAGGAAUGGUUUUGAAAAACAACUACAGAAAUUGCCACAACUUGAUCCAGUUCCAGUUCCACCAGAAAAGAGACCAAGAACAUAGUAGAAAAGGUUUGGGAGGAAUUGAAUGCAGAAACCUUGGCAAGUAUGCUUUAAGCCCAGAAAAGCUGUGGGAAAAGAAGAUCUUCGGAAGAAAACUUGGAAGUUAGAAAGUCUUUGGGAUCCUGAAAUUAAGGGGAUGAAGAGUUUGUCAAAGCAGAAGUCUAGAUGAGUUGCUUUGGGAAGAAAGAAGAUUCUACACUUUUUGCUCCGGGCCUGGAACAGAAAAGACACCCAUGCCGAUAACAUGUCUAUAACACUUAUGUUUAUUAUUUGAUUUCUAUCAUUUCCUAAUUUUUAAAUGUUGAUUGUCACGGACAUGAUUUGACACAACAAAAAGGGACAUUUGCUUAAUGUUAGUGCUUAUGACCAUAGCGGCUGCCCCAGCAUGUUGCCUAACAUUUAAUUGAGAGCUGAAGAAACUCUCUGCAACCUCGGAACGUGGUUCAUUAAAACAUUUUAAGAGGAGGAGCACCUGGGUGGCACAGUUGGUUAAGCAUCCAACUGUUAGGUUGUGAUCUGAGGUUCACAAGAUCGAGCCCCGUGUCCAGCUUUGCACUCAGCAUGGAGUCUGCUUAAGUUUCUCUCUCUCUCUCCCUUUGCACCUUGCCCCCCACCCUUUCUCUGAAAUAAAUAAAACCUUAAAAAAAAAAAAAACAAAAAACAAAAAACUUCUCGAGAGGAAUAUUACCAGGCACAAAUGUCAAGUCAAGGAGCAAAGAAGCUAACCCAACUUUACCACAAAGAAUUGGACUAGCCUUUCUUUCUGAACCUGUGAUUUCCUUCAUCAUAUCAGGUGUGGCACAAUGUAUGAGAGGUUUCCUAACAAUAUAGAAUAACCAAAAGCCAGAAAAGGCAGGGAGGCCACUUCUCUCAUUGUUGCUUAGAAGAUCUCUGUAGGUAACUUGCAUAGAUACUAAUGAGAACAACGUGAAUUAAUCCCACAGCUCAGGAUAGAGCUCAGACAGGAUAGCUGAGGACACAGAACUCAGAAUUCAAAUGCAGUCAGAAUAAGGCUACAUAUAUUAUCUCAACAUGUGGGAAUCCAUCUGUAAUAGCUAUCAAUGGCUCUAUACAACCAACUUACAUAGUUCAUUCAUUAACCAGGAGCUAAUAUACUGCAGAAAUGCUCUAAUGGGUAUAUUUCCAAAAUAAAUUUGAGAGCAUUAACCAUAUUUUGUUCAUCGAAGGAGUGUAGUGAAUUAUAAGGGUCAAAGGCAAGAUGACAUUCGUGGAAAGUGAAUAAGCAUUCAAAGAGCAAGGAUAAUAUCUAGAACUAGACUGUCCACUACAGUAGCCACUAGCCACAUGUAACAAUGUAAAUUUAAAUUAAUUAAAAUUAAAUGAUAUUUCAAAUUCAGUUCUUCAGUCACUCUAGCACAUUUCAAAUGCUCAAUAGCCACAUGUGGCUAGUUGCUACCGUACUAAAUGUUGAUAGAGAACAUGUUCAUAAACACUGGAAGUUCUAUCGCACUGUGCCGAUGCAGACCUUCCAACAUCUGUCUCCAUUCCAACUCCAGCAUGUAUAAUUUUCAUAUUCUGGAUAGUGUGAUUUCAGGAUUCAAAAAGGCCCCAGAAGAAAACAAACAAACAAACAAACAAACAAACAAAAAAACCCACCUAGGACAAGGUGUGGCCAUCAUCACUGACUGAGCAGCUAAGGAGCCCAUAGGGACAGGCAUAACUUUGGGACCUGAGUUUUUCUGUGCAUAUGAGAAACCCUGAAUUGCCACUAUAGCUACCCAGCUAAAGCCAUCCUCUCCCUUCAGGCUGUGGCCGUGUGUUUAUGAGGUCUGUCUGUGUUCGGUAUCAGCUUCUGGCUACUUGUCUAAUUAUGUAGACAGUGAGCACAUGUGAGAUAAAGGGGUAGGAGAAACAGUCCCUUGUGAUCUCAGCCCAUAUAUUGCCCAUCACCCUCCCCUGUCACUGUGGUUCCCUCAUUCAUGUGAACAUGAUAGGUUAAAGUCAGAAUUUAGAGUAUUGAAGCAGAACAUGAUGUAUCAUAGAAGCUCUUAAUUACUGGGACAAUAACCUGAAAGUGAGUAUGUACAAAAGGUAUUACACGAUUAGCCAAGACAGGGGAGAAAUUCAUCUCAUGAAGUAAGCUUAGUUGUUGAAACCAUGUUUUGUCCACAAUCUUCGUUUGUCUGUUUGUUUUCUGCGAUCAUUUGCAUGGGAUAUUUCAAAUCAUCUUUAUGUGAGUCUAGGUAAUUACAAUAAAAAAGGAAAAAUAAACAAACACC